rnacentral:rRNA from 1 species
UACGUAGGGGGCAAGCGUUGUCCGGAAUCAUUGGGCGUAAAGAGCGUGUAGGCGGUUCGGUAAGUCGGCUGUGAAAGUCCAGGGCUCAACCCUGGGAUGCCGGUCGAUACUGCCGGACUAGAGUUCGGAAGAGGCGAGUGGAAUUCCCGGUGUAGCGGUGAAAUGCACAGAUAUCGGGAGGAACACCUAUGGCGAAGGCAGCUCGCUGGGACGUUACUGACGCUGAGACGCGAAAGCGUGGGGAGCAAACAGG